UAAGUAAGGACAAAAAUCCAAUAUCUGUGUUCGUGAGAGCUUCAUUUAUCGUAUCGUGUCUGUUAUUGCUAAGAGUGCAGCAGCAGCAGCAGCAGCAGCAGCAGCAGCAGAGUAACAAUACGCAUAGCAUAGAUACGAAGAUGUCGAAAAAAGGAGGAGGCGCUUCGUUUCCAAAGGAUGUGCCAUGGAGAGCAUCGUCUUCUUCAGCAAAGCCAGUCCCCAAAAUUCAUCACUCUCCUCUCCUCCGCAUUUCCCACACACCCUUUUCCGAUUACGCCAUCUCCGUCAUGAGGCAUCCGGACCCUAUAGGGAGUGGAUUGGGUGAUGAGGCCAUAGUGGAAGCAGCUGGUCCUGACUGCAUCGUACCUGGCCAAAUUAUGCCCCUCAAACUACUUGGCCUUCAGGUCUGGCCCAUCAGUGUUGACCUGAAGUUUUUGGAACCCGUUGGGCGAGAACUUAAGUUGCUUGGAAAGAUAUCUGCUCGAACAUAACUGCAGUGUGUUUUAUAAAUACUGCCUUCAUGUCAGAAAGAUCAAUAUUGUUGCAUUCAUGGAUGACGCAGUUGAACUUAUGAACAAAUCAUUCAUAGAGCGUUGAUAUCAUAGCCAUUGCGAAAAGCUGAAUUUUGAAGGGAGGAUGAGAAGCCAAGCCGAGCCUCUGUAACAUUAGUUCAUUUUGUAUCUAGAGAAUACAAUGCGAUGUAUGAAUAUGAGAUAGCUUCGUUUUGUAUAUUCACAAUUUUCUUCCUCUCCUCCCUUUCCUUCCAUUUAUACCAAAUAAAGAAAACUAU